GGAAAGUGGGACGAAGCCAUGUACUAUGUACUUGGAGAUCCUAGUACAAAGCCAAAGGGUUAUGAUCCAAUGUCAGAGGCAGUGCUUCUUUGGGAGCGAGAUAAGUCGUUAACGCAGACACGGUACAACUUGACACCAUUUGCUAUAUCGCUUAACGAGUUGACGUCUACUUUGUUGGAACAAUUGCCUCCAACCGACUCUCGUCUUCGACCGGAUCAGCGACAUUUAGAGAACGGUGAAUACGAGCUGGCAAAUGCAGAGAAGCUCAGACUUGAACAGUUACAGAGACAGGCGCGAAAAAUGCAAGAGAAGGGAUGGCAGCCGCGGUGGUUCAGGAAGGAUAAGGAGGACGAUUGUUACCGAUACAUGGGCGGAUACUGGGAAGCAAGAGAGAAAGGGAAGUGGGAUGAAAUUCCAGAUAUAUUUGGUAAUAGUGAUUCUUCAGUGUGUGUAGAGUACAUUUAGUAGUGUUUCUCUCUUUAGACCCCUCCCCUAUUGUUCUGGAUCAUUGGUAAUGGCAAUUGUGUAAGGG
rnacentral:misc_RNA from 1 species